GGAAAAGAAACUAACAAGGAUUCCCCUAGUAACUGCGAGUGAAGCGGGAAGAGCUCAAAUUUAAAAUCUGGCGGCUUUUGGUCGUCCGAGUUGUAACCUGGAGAGGCAUUUUCUGCGUUGGACCGUGUACAAGUCUCCUGGAAUGGAGCGUCAUAGAGGGUGAGAAUCCCGUCCAUGACACGGACCGCCAAUGCUCUGUGAUAUGCCUUCGAAGAGUCGCGUUGUUUGGGAAUGCAGCGCAAAAUGGGUGGUAAAUUCCAUCUAAAGCUAAAUAUUGGCGAGAGACCGAUAGCGAACAAGUACCGUGAGGGAAAGAUGAAAAGCACUUUGAAAAGAGAGUUAAACAGUACGUGAAAUUGUUGAAAGGGAAACGCUUGAAGUCAGUCGCGUUCUUUGGAACUCAGCCUUACUUCGGUUUGGUGUACUUUCCAUGUGAACGGGUCAACGUCAAUUUUGGCCGGUGGACAAAGACAAGGGGAAUGUAGCGUUGCUUCGGUGACGUGUUAUAGCCCCUUGUUGUAUAUGCCGGCUGGGAUUGAGGACUGCAGCAUGCCCUUGUGGCCGAGGGGUUUGCCCCUACGUACCGUGCUUAGGAUGUUGGCAUAAUGGCUUUAAGCGACCCGUCUUGAAACACGGACCAAGGAGUCUAACAUGCUUGCGAGUGUUCGGGUGGAAAACCCUUGUGCGUAAUGAAAGUGAAAGUUAGGAACCUUCUCGCAAGAGAGGGUGCACUGACGCCCGGCCCUGAGGUUUUCUGACGGUGCUGCGGUAGAGCAAGUAUGUUGGGACCCGAAAGAUGGUGAACUAUGCCUGAAUAGGGCGAAGCCAGAGGAAACUCUGGUGGAGGCUCGUAGCGAUUCUGACGUGCAAAUCGAUCGUCAAAUUUGGGUAUAGGGGCGAAAGACUAAUCGAACC
rnacentral:rRNA from 1 species